rnacentral:lncRNA from 1 species
GAAUUGGCACAGAUCCAGAGCAUGGACAAGGACUUACACUUCUGCUGAAGGCAAAGGAGAAACAGCAUUAUCUAAAAAGCAACCAAGACUUCAGGGGAUGAGAACCCACUAACUAUUACAGUCCACGUGUCAGUCGCGUUUCUCAUCGUGAUUAACACCCCAGCCAUUGAUUUGCUCUUCAGUGUCUAGUGAGCAAGGCUACUGUGAAUCUUUCCUCAGGAGGACUGAUGGAGUCACAUUUCUGAGCCUACAGAGCUGAGGGCAAGACCUGAGAAUGGUGAUGUCAAAAUGCCAACCAGCGAGACCUCUUGGUGGCCAGGUGCUUGCUUGUGCUCCUCCUGUGCUUGGACAUCAGACUCCAGGUUCUUCAACCUUUGGACUCUGGGACUUGCACCAGCGGCUUCCCAAGGGUUCUCAGGCCUUAAGCCACAGACUGACGACUGUACUGUCAGCUUCCCUGGUUUUGAGGCUUUUGGACUUGGACUGAGCCACUACUGGCAUCUCUCUUUCCCAGCUUGCAGACAGUCUAUCAUGGGACUUUGCCUU